GACGAACCUUGCUAACGUUAUUCGGAAUUACUGGGCUUAAAGGGUGCGUAGGCGGUGCAGCAAGUCGGGUGUGAAAUCCCUCAGCUCAACUGAGGAACGGCGCCCGAAACUGCUGUGCUCGAGGAAGAUAGAGGUACGCGGAACUUAGGGUGGAGCGGUGAAAUGCGUUGAUAUCCUAAGGAACACCGGUGGCGAAGGCAGCGUCCUGGGAAGUGACUGACGCUCAUGUGCGAAAGCUAGGGGAGCGAACGGG
rnacentral:rRNA from 1 species